AGGAAGUCCCCGGGCCAGCAAUCAAACCUGCACCGUGACCGUGACCGUGACCGGACCGCAGCAGUGACGGUGCCAGAUCAUUAGCCCACUGAGCCACCAGAGAACCUCCACAUUAUGUAAGUUUGCGUUGCCCCCGAGCAAGGGCCCUCCCUCUCUUUGGCUUGGACAAAGCAAGUGGCCAGGCUGCGAGUGGCCUUUGGAGGGGAUCGAGCCUGGAGGAGGUGAGCGCAGCCUCCAGCUGACAGCCAGCAAGAAAGCACGCCCUUCGGUCCAACAGCCUGCAAAGCCCUGAAUUCUGCCAACAACAACCUGAACUUGGAAGUGAUCCUUUUCCAGUCCAGCUUCAGAUGAGACUGCUGCCCUGACCCGAGUGGUAGCUUUCAGAGAUCCCGAGCUGGAGGACCCAGCCCAUCUUUGCCAGGACUUCGGACCCACAGAAACUGGGAGAUAAUAAGCGAGGCUUGUUUUAAUCUCCUAUGUUUUGGUGUAACUCGUUAUGCGGCCACAGGAAACUAAGAAGCUCGUUCAUUUUAAAGAACAGAGCCUGCUGUCCUGGAUGCACACGGAGCUGGAAGGAGACGACGGCCUUCAGAACACUGGGAGGGCUGCUGCAACUCAGCUACCAGAUGAUGACUGGAGAUGCAGAAAGAGCAGCCUCGGAUUUGCAUCCACUUUGCAUUCAUUUGCAUAGGACUGCGUUCAGCCGAGCCCCCACCCCUCGUUCAUCCUUCUUCGGGGGUGGGGGAGGGGGGCUCCUCCAGGUCCUCUCCUUUGGAGAAGAGGAGGGGGGUGCAGCCUGAGGAGGACACAGCCCCUGCCCAGGGCUGCGGGGGCAGGGGGUGGAGGCGGGAUUGUCUCUCUUGAGGUCUGGAAAAACUGCCGAUGGGCAGGAGAGUUCGCCUUCAUUUUCCUGAGGGUCAUUUUCUCUCUUACGCCAUGAGCUUGCUGCGCUAAUAAAUUGGCCCUUGUGGUUUAA